AUGCCCCCGAACUCGACGCCGCAGCGCCGCGCGCAGCAGCAGCACCGCCCCGUCACCGGCGGCGGCAGGAGCCAGGAGGCGGCCAUGGCGGCGGCGUGCGACGAGGAGGCGUUCCAGGAGGUGGACCCGACGGGGCGGUUCGGGCGGUACGCGGCCGUGCUGGGGCUCGGCUCCGUCAAGAAGGUGUACCGCGGGUUCGACCAGGAGGAGGGCAUCGAGGUGGCGUGGAACCGGGUGCGCCUGCGCGCGCUGGCGGAGCGCGACCCCUCCAUGGUCGACCGCCUCCACGCCGAGGUGCGCCUCCUCCGCUCCCUCCACCACGACCACAUCAUCGGCUUCCACAAGGUCUGGCUCGACCGCGACGCCGGCGUGCUCAACUUCAUCACCGAGGUCUGCAACUCGGGCAGCCUCCGCGAGUACCGCGACCGGCACAAGCACGUCUCCCUCAAGGCGCUCAAGAAGUGGGCGCGCCAGAUCCUCGAGGGCCUCGACCACCUCCACACCCACGACCCCUGCAUCAUCCACCGCGACCUUAACUGCAGCAACGUCUUCAUCAACGGCAACACCGGCCAGGUGAAGAUCGGCGACCUCGGGCUGGCGGCGAUCGUGGACAAGGACCACACGGCGCACACGAUCCUGGGCACGCCCGAGUUCAUGGCGCCGGAGCUCUACUCGGAGACGUACACGGAGUCGGUGGACAUCUACUCGUACGGGAUGUGCGUGCUGGAGAUGGUGACGCGGGAGAUGCCCUACGGCGAGUGCGAGAGCGUGGUGCAGAUCUACCACAGCGUCACCAACGGCGUGCCGCCCGCCGCGCUCCGCCGCCUCAGGGACCCGGAGAUGCGGGCCUUCAUCCAGCGCUGCAUCGGCAAGCCGCGGAACCGCCCCUCCGCGGCCGACCUCCUGCGGGACCCUUUCUUCCACGGCAUCGACGACGACACCACCGGCACGCUCAGCUAG
rnacentral:rRNA from 1 species